GUCUUGGUCACAGACUUCUACAGGUCAUGAUUGAAGAUGUCUACCCAAAGACUGGGUUCACUUAGGAACAGCACAAACUAUACUUGGACAACACCCCUUCAGCUAAGAUGAGACUUCCUGAGUCCAGAGAACCUUGAGAGUGUCCGAGAUUUCUUCUCCAACAACAGUGGCCCAGGUCUCCUCAUUUCCAAUAGCAUCUUUCUGAGGAAUAUCCACUGUACACUGGCCUUUGAAGGCCAGUGUGGGAAGGUGGGAUUAUGUUGGCAGUUAGGCAUAUCUCAUCUUCCUCAUUCAACUUGUAAUGACUACUGACAUAUUGGCAGGCAUUACACUGAAGUCUCUAACCAACCCCAUCCCCAUUGCUUUGAACUCUGGGAAUCAAACUUCAGAUAUCCUUCGCAGUCUUGGUGCUCCAGAAUGAUAUUGUUCCAUAGUCUUUUAACAUCAAUUGGCCGUAAUAACUUGUAUGUGUAGUUGUCAGGAUCUCGUUAAGUUGUCACAAUGUAGGUGUCAAAGACAGUCUGGGCAGGCUGGAGUUUCAGGAUAUUCAUAUCACUUUGAAUCCCAGCAGCUCAAAUGUACACAUUUCACCAUUAUGAUAAAUCUUGAGUCAAACACAUCUUGGGUUAAUCUGUUCAAAAGCACUGCAUAACGUACUUAAUUGAGUACUACAACUUUAUAACUCACUACCUGAAAAUCAUAUGAUCAUGAAUCAUAGAAUUAUAUAUUUGAUACUUGUGUGCUAACUAUGAAAUAAUUCUGUUAAAAACAGUGCUUUCUGAAUGAAUAUUUGUUUGUAUUUUCAAGUAAAAUCAUGCAGUCAUAUG